rnacentral:rRNA from 1 species
UAAGUCAGCGGUGAAGUUUCGCUGCAAGAGCUGUAAAAAUGCCGUUGAAACUGUCGGACUUGCAUUGUAAGGCGAGGUAGGCGGAAUGCGUGGUGUAGCGGUGAAAUGCAUAGAUAUCACGCAGAACUCCGAUUGCGAAGGCAGCUUACUAAGCUACAACUGACACUGAAGCACGAAAGCGUGGGGAUCAAACAGGAUUAGAUACCCUGGUAGUCCACGCAGUAAACGAUGAUUACUAGCUGUUUGCGAUACGCAGUAAGCGGCACAGCGAAAGCGUUAAGUAAUCCACCUGGGGAGUACGCCGGCAACGGUGAAACUCCAAGGAAUUGACGGGGGCCCGCACAAGCGGAGGAACAUGUGGUUUAAUUCGAUGAUACGCGAGGAACCUUACCCGGGUUUGAACGUAGGGAGACAGGGGUGGAAACAUCCUUUUCAGCAAUGACUGCCUACGAGGUGCUGCAUGGUUGUCGUCAGCUCGUGCCGUGAGGUGUCGGCUUAAGUGCCAUAACGAGCGCAACCCUUAUUUCCAGUUACUAACAGGUAAUGCUGAGGACUCUGGAGAGACUGCCAGCGUAAGCUGUGAGGAAGGUGGGGAUGACGUCAAAUCAGCACGGCCCUUACAUCCGGGGCGACACACGUGUUACAAUGGUAAGGACAAAGGGCAGCUACCGGGCGACCGGAUGCGAAUCUCUAAACCUUAUCUCAGUUCGGAUCGGAGUCUGCAACUCGACUCCGUGAAGCUGGAUUCGCUAGUAAUCGCGCAUCAGCCAUGGCGCGGUGAAUACGUUCCCGGGCCUUGUACACACCGCCCGUCAAGCCAUGGGAGCCGGGGGUACCUGAAGUUCGUAACCGCAAGGAUCGACCUAGGGUAAAACUGGUGACUGGGGCUAAGUCGUAACAAGGUA